UACGUAGGUGACAAGCGUUGUCCGGAUUUACUGGGCGUAAAGAGCGCGCAGGCGGUCGAUCAAGUCGAGUGUGAAAGCCCCCGGCUCAACUGGGGAGGGUCAUUCGAUACUGAUCGACUCGAAGGCAGGAGAGGGUAGUGGAAUUCCUGGUGUAGCGGUGGAAUGCGCAGAUAUCAGGAGGAACACCGAUGGCGAAGGCAGAUCUCUGGGCCGUAACUGACGCUGAGGAGCGAAAGCGUGGGGAGCGAACAGG
rnacentral:rRNA from 1 species